UAGCUUAGUUGGCAAAGCUUAUGCCUUGCAAGCAUGAGGACCUGAGUUCAAUCCCCAG
rnacentral:tRNA from 1 species